CAUGAAGUUGGAUUCGCUAGUAAUCGCGCAUCAGCCAUGGCGCGGUGAAUACGUUCCCGGGCCUUGUACACACCGCCCGUCAAGCCAUGGGAGCCGGGGGUGCCUGAAGUUCGUUACCGCAAGGAUCGACCUAGGGCAAAACUGGUGACUGGGGCUAAGUCGUAACAAGGUACC
rnacentral:rRNA from 1 species